AGGAGGGCGGUUUGCAGCUCUGAAGGGACAACAUCUACGAUUGUCUUCACAGUGACCACCAGCUGAAACAAGCCCCCCACAUAAUUGCUUUUCUCAACAACCCCAACCUCCCGGAUCUGAAUGCCCUUCCGGGGGCCGACGGUCCUGAU